GAGAUGUUAACUUAAAUUUUUAAAGUGUUAGACUUUUAAUCUAAAAAUGGGGUUCCACGUCUUAU
rnacentral:tRNA from 1 species